rnacentral:rRNA from 1 species
CCAUUACUGAUUCCUUAGUAACGGCGAGUGAGUGGGAUAGCUCAAAUUUGAAAGCUGGCAGCAAUGUCCGCGUUGUAAUUUCUAGAAGUGUUUUCCGUGCUGGACCAUAGAUAUGUUCCUUGGAAUAGGAUGUCAUAGAGGGUGAGAACCCCGUACAUGCUAUGGACACCCAGUGCUUUGUGAUACACACGUUCGAAGAGUCGAGUUGUUUGGGAAUGCAGCUCAAAAUGGGUGGUAAAUUCCAUCUAAAGCUAAAUAUUGGGGAGAGACCGAUAGCAAACAAGUACCGUGAGGGAAAGAUGAAAAGCACUUUGGAAAGAGAGUUAAACAGUACGUGAAAUUGUCAAAAGGGAAGCGCUUCAAGUCAGAUAUGAUUUGUUUUUCUAAAAGCUUUUCAGGCCAGCAUCGAUUUUAGGUUUCGGAUAAGGGUAGGAGAAACGUGGCACUCAUUCGUGGGUGUGUUAUAGUCUCUUACUGGAUACGGAGCUUGGGAUCGAGGUUCGCAGCACACCCGCAAGGGCAGGUCUUCGGACACUUUUGUGCUUAGGAUGUUGGCGUAAUGGCUUGAAGCGACCCGUCUUGAACACCCGGAACAAAAUA